rnacentral:misc_RNA from 1 species
GAUGAAGAACGCAGCGAAAUGCGAUAAGUAGUGUGAAUUGCAGAAUUCAGUGAAUCAUCGAAUCUUUGAACGCACAUUGCGCCCCUUGGUAUUCCUUGGGGCAUGCCUGUUCGAGCGUCAUUUGUACCCUCCAGCCCUGCUGGGUAUUGGGCGUUUUGUUCCGCUACGCGCGUGAACUCGCCUCAAAUGCAUUGGCAGCCCGCCGUCCCGUGUGGGAGCGCAGCACAUUUUGCGCUCUCCGCUGCUGACGGUGGCAUCCACAAGUCUACCAUUUUACGCUUGACCUCGGAUCAGGUAGGGAUACCCGCUGAACUUAAGCAUAUCAAUAAGCGGAGGA